rnacentral:rRNA from 1 species
UACGUAGGGUGCGAGCGUUAAUCGGAAUUACUGGGCGUAAAGAGUGCGCAGGCGGUUUUGUAAGCCGGAUGUGAAAUCCCCGGGCUUAACCUGGGAAUGGCAUUUGGGACUGCAAGGCUUGAGGGCGGCAGAGGAGACUGGAAUUCCUGGUGUAGCAGUGAAAUGCGUAGAUAUCAGGAGGAAUACCGAUGGCGAAGGCAGGUCUCUGGGCUGACACUGACGCUCAUGCACGAAAGCGUGGGUAGCAAACAGG